UACAGAGGGUGCGAGCGUUGUUCGGAAUUAUUGGGCGUAAAGAGCGCGCAGGCGGUCGUUCAAGUCGAGUGUGAAAGCCCCCGGCUCAACUGGGGAGGGUCAUUCGAUACUGAUCGACUCGAAGGCAGGAGAGGGAAGUGGAAUUCCCGGUGUAGUGGUGAAAUGCGUAGAUAUCGGGAGGAACACCAGUGGCGAAGGCGACUUCCUGGCCUGUUCUUGACGCUGAGGCGCGAAAGCUAGGGGAGCAAACGGG
rnacentral:rRNA from 1 species